rnacentral:rRNA from 1 species
GCUUCAGCCGUGGCAAGCGGCCGCGGUAAUACGGAUGGUGCAAGGGUUAAUCGGAAUUACUGGUCGUAAAGCGUACGUAGGUGGCUGGGUAAGUUGGAUGUGAAAUCCCCGUGCUUAACUUGGGAAUUGCAUUCAAGACUGCCUUGCUAGAGUGUGGAAGAGGGAAGCGGAAUUCCAGGUGUAGCGGUGAAAUGCGUAGAUAUCUGGAGGAACAUCAGUGGCGAAGGCGGCUUCCUGGUCCAACACUGACACUGAGGUGCGAAAGCGUGGGGAGCAAACAGGAUUAGAUACCCCAGUAGU